CCGUCGAAGGUGGGAUUGGUGAUUGGGACUAAGUCGUAACAAGGUAGCCGUACCGGAAGGUGCGGCUGGAUCACCUCCUUUCU
rnacentral:rRNA from 1 species